AUGAAGCAGAGGCCAUCUGAGGUUAGUUGUCGGCGUGGGGACCGUCCCCUGGGGCGGCGCCUUCCCGGGGGACCCUCAGCGCACACUGCCCUCCCAGGAGAUCAUUUCCUGGGCCCCCCGAGUGUGAGGAGGCAAGGAGCGAACCACAAAUGCGUGGUCUUUGACGUUCCUGGAACGACCACCCGCCACCGCCGGCGGGGGGGAGGGGGAAGCCCGAGAGGCCCGCGCCUCCUGCGGGACGUGCGCGCGGGCGGCGGGUGCUCGGGGUUCCCCGGGGCUGAGCGCGCCGCGGGCUGCAGGCCUCCGCCCGCCGGCUCGGGCCUCUCCCGGGGGUGGGGGUGCGGGGUGGGGGUAGGGGGGUGGACGGGGGCUGGGAGACCCGGGGCUGGGGGGGGCGGCGGAGGAGGAGUCCUUGGCCCCGCGGGAGGCCUGGGCUGCACCCCGUCUCCCGGCCCCCUCCCCACGGGGUGCAGGCCUCCGCCCGCCGGCUCCGGGCCUCUCCCGGGCAGGGGCGGGGACGAGGGCGGGGAGACCCAGGGCGGGGGUGGGGGGGAGGAGGGGGAGGAGGAGGAGGCCCGGGCUGCACCCCCCGCCCCCCGGCCCCCUCCCCGCGGGGUGCAGGCCUCCGCCCGCCGGCUCCGGGCCUCUGGGGGGGUAAGAGGGGAAGACCUGGGGCGGGAGUGGGGGGGCGGCGGCGGAGGAGGCCCGGGCUGCACCCCCCGACCCCCUCCCCGCGGGCUGCAGGCCUCUGCCCGGCAGCUCCGAGCCUCUCCCGGGCACGGGGGGGGACGAGGGCGGGGAGACCCGGGGCGGGGUGGGGGGGGGAGGAGGAGGAGGAGGAGGAGGCCCGGGCUGCACCCGCCCCCCCCCCGCCCCCUGGCGCCCGGCCCCCUCCCCGCGGGGCUGCAGGCCGCGCCCUCUCCUCCGGCCCCGCCGCCGGGGAGGGGUUUCCCGGGACGAGCCGGCCCCUUUCAUCCAGGAAGUGAAAGCGACGUCGGGGUCAAUGAAAGCAAGCGGGGAGCCCGGGGCGGGGGGGGAGGGCGCAGCCGGGGCGCGGGAGGGCGCAGCCGCGGGCUGGCAGCGCGAGCCGGAGCCGGGGGCGCUGGUGCCUGA
rnacentral:lncRNA from 1 species